AGGACGAACGCUGGCGGCGUGCUUAACACAUGCAAGUCACGGGGGCCCGCAAGGGUAACCGGCGAACGGGUGCGUAACACGUGAGCAACCUGCCUAGAUGUGGGGGAUAGCCGGCCCAACGGCCGGGUAAUACCGCAUACGGUCACGAGGAGGAGUCUCCUUGUGAAGAAACCUCCGGGGCAUUUAGAGGGGCUCGCGGCCUAUCAGCUAGUUGGCGGGGUAAUGGCCCACCAAGGCUUCGACGGGUAGCUGGUCUGAGAGGAUGGCCAGCCACAUUGGGACUGAGAGACGGCCCAGACUCCUACGGGAGGCAGCAGUGGGAAUCUUGCGCAAUGGCCGAAAGGCUGACGCAGCGACGCCGCGUGUGGGAGGACGCCCUUCGGGGUGUAACCACUGUUGCCCGGGACGAACAUCCACUUCGAGUGGACUGACGGUACCGGGUGAGGAGCACCGGCUAACUCCGCGCCAGCAGCCGC
rnacentral:rRNA from 1 species